rnacentral:lncRNA from 1 species
UGAGUGGAUGUACUCUUUAUGGUGGGGGUAUAAUAAUUCUUGAAUUUAGAAUUAUGAUUGUCAGUAGCAGACAAUGUGAAAGUUGCAGUUACACAUGGUUGGCCAAGUUUAGAGUCAGGUGAAGAACUGAUUUUGUUAUGUGUAGCUGGACAACUAUAAAGGGCCAACGGAUUGCAUUUUUCUUCUCUUCAAAAGGUGGAGAUUUGUUGAAGUUGAAAUUGUUUUGAAGAAAGAAAACAAAACCUCUCACAUCGGAAAUUUACUUUGGUUGGGAG